AAUGGCAGAAGUAUGUUCUUUUUAAUAAAUCAAUUUUUCUUUCUCUUUUGUUUAACCUUAUAUUUGAUAUUAAGAAUACAUAUUAUCUUUUGAAACUUUGAGAGAGUUUAAUAAAACCAUAUAUUGAUUUUUUUUAAUUUUUCUAUAUGUCGAAAACACUGGAGAUAUUCUUUGCGAAUUGUAUGAACCUUCGACCAGCAAGAAAUUUCGUGAUGAGAUUCGUGAUUUUACGUUUCAACUAACCCAAAAUCGUUUGACGUUUACCGCUUGCAGAUUCUACGAUCUAGAUCAUACAUUUAUAUAUAGUGCGAUAGGUUCGAUUACUACCUAUCUCGUUAUUCUUAUUCAAGUUGGAGAUAAACCUAAAGUAUUCUUAAACAAUACGAAUUAUAAUUUAACGUUAGAAAUAUAACGAAAGAAUUAAAAU